rnacentral:rRNA from 1 species
AGAGUUAAACAGUACGUGAAAUUGUUGAAAGGGAAACGAUUGAAGUCAGUCGUACCAACGGGAAAUCAAUUCAUCGAGUGUUAAAUUUGGGUUUCGAAGAGUGUUAAAACCUUUGGGUUCAGAUAUUUUCACUUUUUGAACGUAUUUUCUCGUACGGUAGGUUAACAUCGAUUUUGAACAUUAUAAAAUGAUCGGAGGAAUGUAGCUUCGAUCUCGUAUUGAAGUGUUAUAGCCUUUGGUAAAUGUAACGGAUGGGAUCGAGGAUUGCAAUGAAUACCCUCAUGGGCUAUUCGUCUGGCCUCUGACAUGUCACUCUGGUGCCGAAAGCUUGCUUAUGAUGUUAGGGUAUUACGGUCAAAAGGUUAGAACGGAUUAAAUUCGUUAAGGAUGUUGACGUAAUGACUUUAAACGACC